rnacentral:rRNA from 1 species
GACGUAGGGCGCGAGCGUUGUCCGGAUUUAUUGGGCGUAAAGAGCUCGUAGGCGGUUUGUCGCGUCUGCCGUGAAAUUUCGGGGCUCAACCCCGAACUUGCAGUGGGUACGGGCAGACUAGAGUGUGGUAGGGGAGACUGGAAUUCCUGGUGUAGCGGUGAAAUGCGCAGAUAUCAGGAGGAACACCGGUGGCGAAGGCGGUUCUCUGGGCAUUACCUGACGCUGAGGAGCGAAAGUGUGGGGAGCGAACAGG